CCGUUUAGACAAUGCUAGGAUGUGAUGGGGAAGCCCUUCGGGGCGAAGUAGCUGAUUUCACACUGUCAAGAAAAGCUUCUAUCGAGUUUAAAGGCGCCCGUACCGUAAACCGACACAGGUGGGUGAGGAGAGUCCUAAGGCCAGCGAGAGAACUAUUGUUAAGGAACUCGGCAAAAUGACCCCGUAACUUAGGGAGAAGGGGUGCCUGUCUAUGACAGGCCGCAGAGAAUAGGCCCAAGCGACUGUUUACCAAAAACACAGGUUUCUGCUAAGUCGCAAGACGAUGUAUAGGAGCUGACGCCUGCCCGGUGCUGGAAGGUUAAGGGGAUCUGUUAGAGCAAUCGAAGCAGUGAACUUAAGCCCCAGUAAACGGCGGCCGUAACAAUAACGGUCCUAAGGUAGCGAAAUUCCUUGUCGGGUAAGUUCCGACCCGCACGAAAGGCGUAACGAUUUGGGCACUGUCUCAACAAUAGACUCGGUGAAAUUGUAAUCCCGGUGAAGAUGCCGGGUACCUGCGACAGGACGGAAAGACCCCAUGGAGCUUUACUGUAGCUUGACGUUGGGUCUUGGUACUACAUGUACAGGAUAGGUGGGAGACUAUGAAGCAUGGACGCCAGUCUGUGUGGAGUCAUCCUUGGGAUACCACCCUUGUAGUACUGGGAUCCUAACCUUAGGCCUUGAAUCAGGUCUUGGAACACCGUCAGGUGGGCAGUUUGACUGGGGCGGUCGCCUCCUAAAAAGUAACGGAGGCGCUCAAAGGUUUCCUCAGCACGGUCGGAAAUCGUGCGAAGAGUGUAAAGGCAAAAGGAAGCUUGAUUGCAAGACAUACAGGUCGAGCAAGGACGAAAGUCGGACUUAGUGAUCCGGUGGUACCGCAUGGAAGGGCCAUCGCUCAACGGAUAAAAGCUACCCUGGGGAUAACAGGCUUAUCUCCCCCAAGAGUCCACAUCGACGGGGAGGUUUGGCACCUCGAUGUCGGCUCAUCACAUCCUGGGGCUGUAGUAGGUCCCAAGGGUUGGGCUGUUCGCCCAUUAAAGUGGUACGCGAGCUGGGUUCAGAACGUCGUGAGACAGUUCGGUCCCUAUCCGUCGCAGGCGUAGGAAAUUUGAGAAGACCUGUCCUUAGUACGAGAGGACCGGGAUGGACGUACCUCUGGUGUACCAGUUGUUCUGCCAAGGGCAUGGCUGGGUAGCUAUGUACGGAAUGGAUAAGCGCUGAAAGCAUCUAAGCGCGAAGCCAACUUCAAGAUAAGAUUUCCCACCGUAAGGGUAAGACCCCAGGAAGACUACCUGGUUGAUAGGUCGAAGGUGUAAGUGCAGUAAUGUAUUUAGCUUAUCGAUACUAAUAGGUCGAGGACUUGACCAA
rnacentral:rRNA from 1 species